AUACGGAGGGUGCAAGCGUUAAUCGGAAUUACUGGGCGUAAAGCGUGCGUAGGUGGUUUGUUAAGUUAGAUGUGAAAGCCCCGGGCUCAACAUGGGAACUGCAUUUGAAACUGGCAUACUAGAGUAUAGGAGAGGAAAGUGGAAUUUCAGGUGUAGCGGUGAAAUGCGUAGAUAUCAGAAGGAACAUCAAUGGCGAAGGCAGCUUUCUGGACUAAUACUGACACUCAGGUACGAAAGCGUGGGUAGCGAACAGGAUUAGAAACCCUAGUAGUCC
rnacentral:rRNA from 1 species